rnacentral:rRNA from 1 species
AAUAGAUACCCGGGGUAGUCCACGCCGUAAACGAUGAGUGCUAAGUGUUAGGGGGGUUUCCGCCCCUUAGUGCUGCAGCUAACGCAUUAAGCACUCCGCCUGGGGAGUACGGCCGCAAGGCUGAAACUCAAAGGAAUUGACGGGGGCCCGCACAAGCGGUGGAGCAUGUGGUUUAAUUCGAAGCAACGCGAAGAACCUUACCAGGUCUUGACAUCUCCUGACCGCCCUGGAGACAGGGUCUUCCCUUCGGGGACAGGAUGACAGGUGGUGCAUGGUUGUCGUCAGCUCGUGUCGUGAGAUGUUGGGUUAAGUCCCGCGACGAACGCAACCCUUGUCCUUAGUUGCCAGUAUUCAGUUGGGCACUCUAAGGAGACUGCCGGCUAAAAGUCGGAGGAAGGUGGGGAUGACGUCAAAUCAUCAUGCCUCUUAUGACCUGGGCUACACACGUGCUACAAUGGGCAGUACAGAGGGUCGCGAACCCGCGAGGGGGAGCCGAAUCCCAAAAAACCGCUCUCAGUUCGGAUUGCAGGCUGCAACUCG